CUGCACGUGUAAGAAUGAAAACAAAAAGCUCGUAUCUCAGUUUUAGUCUAAUCGCUGAAAAAAAUAUUUUAACCUAAUCAUCUUCUUUAUCGUUGAGCUCUUUCUUCUCCUCAGAAAAUACAUUUAAAAUAGCUGAAUGGAUAAGAGCACAUUAGAGAUUUACAACGGAGAGGGUGAUCCAACUGGGGAUGCUACAUAGAAAAUUUUUUAUUGACAGGGUCUUUGGGGGGAAUUGUGAAAAUCUGCUAUAAUACAAGAAUGCAAGGAGCUUGGAAAAUAAUAGUGGAAGCUUAAUGAAUUAUAAUUCAAAGCUAAGAAAUAUAAUGGUUCAGAGACUCAAGAAAAUCAUAUUCAAGGGAGUUUUGUUGUUGAUAAGUCAGUUGGAGAUUUGGACGUCACCUGAUUGUUUGAUCAAUUGAUCCUGAGG